rnacentral:lncRNA from 1 species
UUAAUUCAUAAUGGUUUGCUUAUACCUGUACUAUAUAUUUAUACAUACUUGGAGGUUCCCUUUUACUUUUUGGAUUGUAUCUUUACAGACUUUUUUUAAUGCAGUUUUAUCCCUCUGUAUAUUGGAACACCUGUGCUACACAGAUGAUGUGUUUGAUACCUGGAAGAGAAACUAUAUCCAUAAACUAAUCCUCCUAGGGGCAUCUCACUGCGAUGGAGCUCAGGCCCCUCAGACGUGGAUAUGGUUUAUAAAAGAGCAUUAAAAAUUGUACAGCAGGCAGAAUAGCCAGCAUGCUCCUCUUCCUGGGAGUUAAUUAACUCAA